rfam:Stegodyphus mimosarum contig54067, whole genome shotgun sequence.
GCCUUCCUGGUGUAGUGGUCAGCACGCUCGACGCGUAACCGAGAUGUCCGUGGUUCGAUUCCCGGCGAAGGCG